UACGUAGGGUGCAAGCGUUGUCCGGAAUUAUUGGGCGUAAAGAGCUCGUAGGCGGUUUGUCGCGUCUGCUGUGAAAACUCGGGGCUUAACUCCGGGCCUGCAGUGGGUACGGGCAGACUAGAGUGCGGCAGGGGAGACUGGAAUUCCUGGUGUAGCGGUGAAAUGCGCAGAUAUCAGGAGGAACACCGGUGGCGAAGGCGGGUCUCUGGGCCGUAACUGACGCUGAGGAGCGAAAGCGUGGGGAGCGAACAGG
rnacentral:rRNA from 1 species